UACAUCUCUCCUUUCGCUCAAACGGGGCAAUCGGCGUGAGGACGGGCUCGGGAAUGUAAUGCCCUUCCCCCCCUGGUCGGAAGUGACGUGCGGCGAGCGCUGGGAAGGCGGAAAUCGCGUGUAGAGCGUGGCGGCCGUGAUGAAGGUGCCACGAAGAUACACAAUGUCAUCUGACUCGGAGGAAGAAAAUGGAGUCAGGCAUGAGAAGGAUGACAGUGAUGGGGGCAACUAUGAUGGCAGAUCUAGAUCCCACUCUAGGUCAGCAUCUCCAGGAGAUCAAAGGUCAAAUCGGCAAAAUAUGUCCGACAGAGAGGACUCAGUGGAGGGAAGGGAGAAUGGGAUGAGAGGGGAGUCAGAUACAGAAGAAAACAGAGGCCAAAAAGAGUCCAGUCAUUCGAGGACUCCUGAGGAUAAGGAAAUGAUUGAGUGGAGUGGUGAGGCAGGAGAAAAGAGAUGCUCGCGCAGCAGGAGUGAUGAAGCUGAGGAUAAAGUGGCAUCUCGUAGUCGUAGUAAGAGUAAGCAGAGGGAAGUAGACACCAGUAAAGAAAGGAAAUCUAGUUCGUCGUCUUCUAAAAAGAAAUCUCGAUCCAGAAGAUCUCGCUCACGGUCAAGGAGCAAGAAGCGAUCUCACUCUCGAAGUAGAAGAUCUCGCUCUAGAAGUCGGAAGAAAUCCAGAUCGAGGUCCCGAUCCCGUGGAUCAAGACGACGAUCACGAUCUCGAUCAAGAAGGCGUUCAAGAUCUCGAUCUAGAAGUGGAACUCCGGUGGAUGGAGCUCGUCUUCAUGUAGCUGAGCUAGAUGUUGAUACACGCAAGAGGGACUUAGAGCGAGUGUUUGAGAAAUAUGGCAGACUGCGGGAGAUUUGGAUGGCUCGGAAUCCACCUUGCUUUGCGUUUGUGGUUUAUGCACAUCAGAAGGAUGCAGAUAGAGCACUUAAGGAAACUGAUGGAAUAAUGAUUGGCCACUGCCGCAUCAAGGUCACUCAAGCAAGGCCUCGUGUUCGUGGUGGACGCAUGAGAGGAGCUUAUGACCCAAAUCUGCGGUGUUACCAGUGUGGUGAACUAGGUCACUUUUCUAGAAAUUGCACAGACACCAAGUUUGGCUAUAAGCGACCCCCAACUCCACCAGGGAUGUGUUAUGGUUUGGUAUUGUGGUCAUGUGGUUGGGUUAUUGGUGCGGUGGGGAGAGGCGCCUCCAGAGUGCCUUGAGAAGCGUCAUGAUGGCACAGCUGCGGUGGCACGGCCGCGCUCACUUCAAACAUAUGGAUGGUAGAUAUCCAAUUAAUUGGAGGAAAAUUGCGGCUGGAAUCUUGCUAAGAACCUACAUCUGCUUGGGUUAAUACUGUAGAUUAGACGAGUGUUUGGGUGGUAUGUGAUUACGUGUCAUUAGGACUUGGCCGAGAGCUGUACGGUGCUUAUUGUUUUUUUUCUCGUUGGAGGUAAGUAAUUAUAUCACGUUAGUCAGGAUAUUAAAUACAUGCUAUUAUUUAUAGCUAGCUCUGUUGUCAGGUGGUUUCUAAAUUUAUUUUGAAAGGUAAGUUGGAGUCACAUUGAUGAAUACAUACAUAAUAUUCACUUUUCUUUUAUUGAAUUAAAACCUUUUCUUUCAUGAUCUUGUAAAAGAAAUAUCAUUGAGAAGUUCAUGAGUUCAUAUGUGAUAUAUAGGACCUAACAUAUAGGGAAAAUCCUCAACCAACAUGAUCUGAAGAUUUUUAUUUUAUUUUCCAAUCUAGAGGUUACUUUUGCAAGGUUUUCCUAGUUUUGGCAAACUUCUUGCAAAAAAAAAGAAAAAAAAAGAAAAAAAAACCUGACGUUUUAGUUUUUUCCCUAAUUUCUUUUGUCAUUAGCAGACUAUGUGUUGUUAUUGGUGUUCUUAUGGAGUACUGAAGGGACAGACCACAAGAGAUCAGAUAAAUUUGUAAUUCAUCUUGGAAUCUACUCAAGUGAAGGAGGGGAGGAGGAGGAUGGUGGGUGAGGUCCAGCAGGCAAGAGAGUGCAACGUGGAAAUGAGCAUCUUCCAAGAGCACACCGGGGAUCAGGAAGAUAUCGGCAUAGGUCCCGAUCAAGAUCCCGUUCUCGGCACCACAGCCGAUCAAGAUCCCGUUCUUGAGGAAUGGGUUCAGACACUUGUAGAUGAAAGGGGUGUGGCUUCUGCUUUGACAGAGCCACUGAGUCCGACACAAGGAGAUACACAGGAGGUCAAGCAUUACCUUGGUUAAGAGAGUAAAAUUCUCUUGCAGCUUUCCUGGUUCAUGGCGUACCAGAGGUCCCUUAUGCUUAACACAUCCACUGGAAACAUUUGCUUUAUACUUCAGUGAAUCAGAAAUACAUUUAAGAAAGUACAGAUAUAUUCAGUUUUUUAAACAGUUUAGAUAAUCAGAUUUUUUUUUCUUUUCUUUUCUUUUAGUCAGACACGUUUUCCUGCUUCUCAAGAAACGAAAACUUUAAAUUGUCUGCAUAGUUUAUUUUGUACCUCCCAGAUGGCUGAUUACUUGUUAUGGUAUUCAACUGAGAGUUAGUUUAUGUUUUGUAAUUGAAUUUAUUUUGUCUUGAAUUUGUUUUCAAAUACUGGAAAAAGAAAAUAAUUGCUCCUUUAUUCUUUGGGAGAGGAAGAUAGCAAAAGAGAAAUUGCAUUUUUUUGUGGCAAUCAUCAUCAGUUAAUAAAAUAAAAAAAAAAGGUACAGAAUGUAGUAAAAGGAAAU